rnacentral:lncRNA from 1 species
GCCACCCAGAGGCAGACCCGCGUCGUGCGGCUUCCCACAGCGGCGGGAAAACAGAGCCCGGGCGCAGGGCCCCGCAGGACCGCGGGCCUCGGUGGAGCCAAAGGAGCCUUCCUUCCCCGGGGGCAAAGCGCGCAGUCCGAUCGCAUCCUUCCCUCCCGGCCUGCGGGUACGCAGCAGACUCCCCAGGACGAGGCACAGCCGAGAUCCGCCUCCUCGAAGACCUCUGCUGCAGUCUCUGGCAAAGACUUGCUCUUUGGGUGAUGUAGACUUGCAGUCCCUGAAGGAAAGAGUGAAAAUAAUCCAGAAAGAAGCAGAGGACAAGGAUUUGAACUAGACGCGGGCACGAGCUGUCCUUCGCUCGGGCCGGUUCGUGCGCUCAGAAAGCGUCCGCGGGCGCCAGGCAAGGCGGGGCCCAGACCGGCAAGGCGGCCGGGACCCAGGGUCCCCGCACCCCAGAGAGCUCGUGUGGCAGGAAUGGUGACCAGGGGAGAUGCGUGCGGGCUCGGGCAACCGUUCCGAGAGCGGAGAUGCCCGAGAAAGGUGAGGCCUGGCGCUGGGACCUCAGGGGUGCGUGCCCUGGGUUGCUACCAGCAGUUUGAAGCAAAGCGCCACACCUGAUCUCGAGUCAUAGCACACACAAUGUGAACAUUCUUCCAAAAAACGGGAUUUUAAAACAAAUACAUUCUUUCCCCCUAGCCGGGGGACUCUAUGCAUACCUCGCCGCCAGCCUCGGGGCCGGGAUGGUGACGGGGCUGCGGGCGUGUGCGGCUGGAUUAGAGCGGGACGCGUGGGUUUUGAAGGAAAAGUGGAAAAAUGUCAGCAAGGUCCCACCGAGAUUUGAACUCGGAUCGCUGGAUUCAAAGUCCAGAGUGCUAACCAUUACACCAUGGGGCCGGCAAGCACGAAUCCUGGGUGAGUUUUUCUUCUGACAAAUGUUCAUCUCGCGGCUCUACCCUCGGAUCUCGCGUUAGAACAAUUGUUUUCAGUGCAUCCCUGCCGCCCCCUAGAGGGCUGUGUGGAGAUGUGUAGGAGCUGGGUCCGAGGCGCACUUGCG